rnacentral:rRNA from 1 species
UACGGGGGGGGUAAGCGUUGUUCGGAAUUACUGGGCGUAAAGGGCUCGUAGGCGGCCAACUAAGUCAUACGUGAAAUCCCUCAGCUUAACUGGGGAACUGCGUGUGAUACUGGAUGGCUUGGAUUUGGGAGAGGGAUGCGGAAUUCCAGGUGUAGCGGUGAAAUGCGUAGAUAUCUGGAGGAACACCGGUGGCGAAGGCGAACAUCCUGGACCGGUAUUGACGCUGAGGCGCGAAAGCCAGGGGAGCAAACGGGG